AACGAACGCUGGCGGCAGGCUUAACACAUGCAAGUCGAACGCCCCGCAAGGGGAGUGGCAGACGGGUGAGUAACGCGUGGGAAUCUACCCAUCCCUACGGAAUAACUCAGGGAAACUUGAGCUAAUACCGUAUACGUCCUUCGGGAGAAAGAUUUAUCGGGGAUGGAUGAGCCCGCGUUGGAUUAGCUAGUUGGUGGGGUAAAGGCCUACCAAGGCGACGAUCCAUAGCUGGUCUGAGAGGAUGAUCAGCCACACUGGGACUGAGACACGGCCCAGACUCCUACGGGAGGCAGCAGUGGGGAAUAUUGGACAAUGGGCGCAAGCCUGAUCCAGCCAUGCCGCGUGAGUGAUGAAGGCCUUAGGGUUGUAAAGCUCUUUCGCCGGUGAAGAUAAUGACGGUAACCGGAGAAGAAGCCCCGGCUAACUUCGUGCCAGCCGCCGCAGUAACAC
rnacentral:rRNA from 1 species